rnacentral:rRNA from 1 species
GACGAACGCUGGCGGCGUGCUUAACACAUGCAAGUCGAACGGUGAAGCUCCAGCUUGCUGGAGUGGAUCAGUGGCGAACGGGUGAGUAACACGUGAGCAACCUGCCCCUGACUCUGGAAUAAGCGCUGGAAACGACGUCUAAUACUGGAUACGAGAAGGGUCCGCAUGGGCACUUUCUGGAAAGUUUUUCGGUUGGGGAUGGGCUCGCGGCCUAUCAGCUUGUUGGUGAGGUAAUGGCUCACCAAGGCGACGACGGGUAGCCGGCCUGAGAGGGCGACCGGCCACACUGGGACUGAGACACGGCCCAGACUCCUACGGGAGGCAGCAGUGGGGAAUAUUGCACAAUGGGCGAAAGCCUGAUGCAGCGACGCCGCGUGAGGGAUGACGGCCUUCGGGUUGUAAACCUCUUUCAGCAGGGAAGAAGCGAAAGUGACGGUACCUGCAGAAGAAGCACCGGCUAACUACGUG